GUGGAACUCGCUCCCAGCCUAAAGAUGGAGGCUAGGCAACCAGCACAGUAUUCAGGCUGCUGGGGUUCAUACGUAUUGAAAUCCCAGUGUAGGGGCGGACUUCCCCAUGGGAAUGUCUGAUGAGUACUUUGAAUUACAGAUCUCUGUACAGGCCCUGUUAGAAAUGCCACUCUUCAGGGCAUUUCGUGUGUUUUCCUUUGAGGGCUCCUGGGACUUGUAAAUUCAGUUCAGUUCACCUUCUGAGGAAUGGGCUGACAAGCUGAAGUCUGAGCCAUAAGCUGCGAUGGAACCUAACUUCUGUGCCCCUUCAAUGUGGAACAUGUGGUCAUCAAAGAAGAUGUGGGGCCGGAUCUUCACUAAGAUGGGACUUUUGGGGGCUCCAGCAAGGAAAAGAGCUUCGUCUAUCUCUAGACCCCAGCGUCGAAGGUUCUUCAGCACACGGGCGCCUGAACUGGCUGCACUCUUAGCUGUAACCAGGUAGGUCCUGAUAGGACAAA